UACGUAGGGUGCAAGCGUUGUCCGGAAUUAUUGGGCGUAAAGAGCUCGUAGGCGGUCUGUCGCGUCGGCUGUGAAAACUCGGGGCUCAACUCCGAGCUUGCAGUCGAUACGGGCAGGCUAGAGUUCGGCAGGGGAGACUGGAAUUCCUGGUGUAGCGGUGAAAUGCGCGGAUAUCAGGAGGAACACCGGUGGCGAAGGCGGUUCUCUGGGCAUUACCUGACGCUGAGACGCGAAGGCGUGGGGAGCGAACGGG
rnacentral:rRNA from 1 species